AAAAAAUAUUUGUAAAAUGUUUACACAGUGCCCGGCACACAGUAGUCACUUUAUAAAUGUUAACAAGAAUUGCAUUUAUAGAGUGGUCCCAAUCAUCAUCACCAAGUGCUGCUGAAACUCUCCAUACUUUGUCAGGCUAUCCUUUACAAGGCAGGUUCAGUUUGUUUCUGAUGUCACUUAUGAAGCAGAAUGGAAUAUAACCGUAAGGAAACUCGGAGCUCGUACAGCCUCGUACCCUUGUUUUACAGAUAGGGAAACCAAAGACCAUAGAGGUUGAGUGACUUGCUCAGGGACACACAGGUAGAUUAUAAGAGAUAUGAUCUGAUUCUAAAUUCAGUCUUUUUUUCCCGUGCCACAUUGCUUCUUCAGUGGAUCAGAAAGGCUUCAGGCAAGUCAUUUCACCUCUCUAGGGAGCUGGUCUAGUUCUCUUUCAGUUCUAAAUCUAUUAUCCUACAAAUCCAAAGUAAUGACUCCAGUGGUGGAAAUUUUAGGCAUUGUUACAGUUAGGUUGUAGAUACUACACCUUUUAGGGGACCAACUGCUCAUCAAACCAGCCAUUAUUAUAAUGGCAUUUGGGGAAGGACAUCUCAGAGAGAGUGAGUAGGGAAUAGGAGUAGAGAGAAACAGGAAAGAGACAGCUUCUCUGAGUAGCAAAUCCCCAAAUCUUCAUACCUAUUAUCACCACCAUUUUCCCUCCUCCUUUCUCUUCAACUUGUGGGGAUUCUUAGAAGGAUGGGGAACAUAACUCAUAGUCACCCUGGAGAAUGACUUGCAUUCUCAGUAUGUCCAGUCAGCAACAUGUAUAUCUCAGCCUCAGUAAUCACAAGAUUUCAGGGAAAAUCGAAAGCAGUUCCUCAUUGGAGAUUGGUUGGGGCCUCUGUUUUUUUCUCCCUUUUGGGGAAAGGGCAUCAAGAAGGAUGGGGAAAGGGCAUCAAGAAUGACGGUGAAAGGCAAGAGGCUGAUGAGAAACAGAAGAGAAGAAAAGGGUGCAUGAUGGGAGAAAUGAGGACAGAAGAUGGCAAAAAGCAACUGAAGAGAUAUUCUUGUGGUCCUUAUGGGCAGGCCUUGUGGAGGAGUUAUCUGGUGGUGGUUAGAGUUUAUACCACUCUUCACAUCAGAGCACGUGGGCAGUGAUGGUCACCUCUCCCUAGGGGGCCAAAACUAAAACCAUGAUCUCAGAACAGUCAUCUUUCUCUACGGACUCAUUGUAAAUAUAAGGGAGCCUUUGGAUUCAUUAGAUUCCACUCUGGAAGGAAGGAAGGAAAAAAAGAAGAAAGGAAAGAAAUAUGCUUAAAAAAGUUUGGCUUGACCUUCUUACCAUCAUUUACUUAAGAUAAGCAAGUCAUGUAAUUGCAAAAUAAAG